AGAAAAAGUGUGGGAUUUCAAGAGAUUAAGCUAAUAAAGGUGGUGAGCCCUCUAACAAUGGUAAAGAGAUUAUGCCCGAAGACCGAGAAUAGGAGUAUAUCGAACUCCUAGUACUGCUCAGAAUAGAUUAUAGAUAACUGAUAACGUCAAGGACUACAGUUGGACUUGCCACAUCCAAAAAC